rnacentral:tRNA from 1 species
GCGCGGUUAGUGUAAUGGAUAGCACGUAAGAUUCCGGUUCUUGCAAUCCGGGUUCGACUCCCGGAUCGCGCACUA